rnacentral:tRNA from 1 species
GCCUAGGUGGCGGAAUUGGUAGACGCAUUGGACUCAAAAUCCAACGAGGGCAACUUCAUGCCGGUUCGAUUCCGGCCCUGGGCACUA